rnacentral:tRNA from 1 species
GCUCAGAUAGUGUAGUGGUUAUCACGUCUGCCUCACACGCAGAAGGUCUCAGGUUCGACCCCUGGUUUGAGCA